AGCGGGCUGCCCCAGAGGUCGAGCUCUCAGCCGCUCCCGGGCAAGGCAGGCACCCGGCCGGCACGAGGCUGGCAGGGGAGCAGGCACCACAGGAAAAUCGGGAGCAAAAGCAUCUGCUGCCCACUGCCUGGCCUGUUCAAGGAGUCAGGGAUUGGUUUCCUGGCUCCCUAAUCCAUGUGCUAACUCGGCUGCUGCCCAAUUCACGUUUGGGAGCAAGCGAGGGCACCCGGGGCAAGCCCCACAGCUCAUCUGCCUGUUGUCUUGUAACCCCGGUGAGUUAAAGGGCUGUCACAGAGAGAUUUCCACUUGCUGGUUCUUGUCCUUGUGACCGAGGGCAAGCAGGACAGCAAAUGCCACCACAGCACAGCUCCAGACAAAACAGUCCAACAAGACACUUCAAGGAAACUUCACAGACCAAAGAAAAUCUUCCUGAUUAACAUCCCACAGUGCUACACCACCAAACUGUACUUUGUGGAAGGCUGGAUGCUCUAAUGGUACUGAAAAUUGGAGCCAGUAUAAACGUAGGUAUGACUCGACCCCACCCAGAGCUUUUGGAGUGCCAGUUCUCACAGGAGAAAGUAUCGACAGACCAGUGUUGUCACUCCUGAACAUGAUGUUCCAGAGAAAAAAAAAAA